ACUAAAGGUGGAGAGAUAAAAUUCAAUUAUACCAUAGGGACUCGGUAAAGGCGAAGGCAGCUUUUUAUGUAAUAACUGACGUUGAAGGACGAAGGCACAGAGAACAAAAAGGAUUAGAGACCCAAGUAGUCUUUGCAGUAAAUGAUGAACGCCAUAGGUUAGAAUAAAAAUACAAUUAGUAGUUAUUACUUAGUAUUUAUUUGAUCUAUAAAUGAAAGUGUAAGCGUUUCACCUCAAGAGUAAUGUGGCAACGCAGGAACUGAAAUCACUAGACCGUUUCUAACAUCAGUAGUGAAGUAUGUUGUUUUAAUUCGAUGAUCCGCGAAAAACCUUACCAUAACUUGAAUAAAUACAGGAGUUGCACGGCUGUUUUCAGUUAAUGUUGUGAAACCGUGGUUUCCAUGGAAUUAACGAAAGCCCUGGCUUUAUUUUAAUCUAGUAGGUAUACCUUGGUAUACCGCUUAAGCAAUAACUGUUAUAUGCAGAGCUUGCUGAGUUUUUUUAUAAAGCAUUUCUUUCCGGACAUUGGAAAGAAAAAAGGGGUCAAAGACAAGUCAUCAUGGCCUUGAUGUUAUGGGCUAUAGACGUGCCACACAUGCCUAAACAAAGAGAUGCGAAAAUGUGAAUUUGAGCUAAUCUCUCAAAAUAGGAUAUAAUUAAAGGAUUGUAGUCUGAAAUUCGACUAUAUGAAUAAGUAAUUACUAGUAAUCGUGAAUCACCACGUCACGGUGAAUUUUUCUUGGAUUGGU
rnacentral:rRNA from 1 species